rnacentral:sRNA from 1 species
GUAUAUCUGUCUGUCCAAGGCGGUUUUAUCCCUGUAGCUACCCAAGAGAAGUCGUCUAUCACCUCAAUUUAUACAUGUUGAUUCUCGCACUAUGGUCAGGAACAUGAAGAAAGCAGAGAACUGCCAACUUCCCCUCCGACCCCAGAGGCCCGAUUAUUUAGUUGCUGUCCCCACAUUUAUUUCCCCGCCGCAGCUUUCAAACAUUUGCCAUUCCCAAGUCCGACCCGGACGUGAGGAAUAAAAUAUGGGAAAUAAUUUCCUGGGCCGAAAUUUGAAAAUUAUUGUUUGUGUUGUGGGUACUAGUAGUUGUGGGCGCUACACAGCAGCUCCAGUUUUUUCUUUACAAAAGAGGCGCGAAGACAAGAACACCCGGUAAUAAAAUAAUUCUCAUUUGUUCCAGCUUGCUUGCAGUUUUUGUUUCGCUAGAGAGAUAGAAUCUCUUCCCAGGAGGAGAUGUGCCCCACCAGGACUGGAUACAGGGAAUUGAAUUCUCUGCUGCUCCCCUGUGCCUCCACAAGGGAGGCUUGUCGAAUCCAUGCGCAAUCUCAGUAUAUGUCAGCCUGCUUAAGCUUAAUUUCUAG